rnacentral:rRNA from 1 species
CAGUCGCCGCGGGAAUACGAAGGGGGCUAGCGUUGCUCGGAAUUACUGGGCGUAAAGGGUGCGUAGGCGGUUUGAUAAGUCUUGUGUGAAAUCUAUGGGCUCAACCCAUAGUCUGCAUAGGAAACUGUCGGGCUUGAGAGUGGGAGAGGUGAGUGGAAUUUCCGGUGUAGCGGUGAAAUGCGUAGAUAUCGGAAGGAACACCUGUGGCGAAAGCGGCUCACUAGACCAUUUCUGACGCUGAUGCACGAAAGCUAGGGGAGCAAACAGGAUUAGAUACCCGCGUAGUCCCUGUCUCUUAUAC